GUUCCUCAGAGCUGCGCGGCUGUGACGUCAUAGGCUGACCUCUAGGAAACCAUGUAUUUUCUUCAAGUUCGAGGACCUGGAGAUGUUCUGUGUAGGAAAUCUCUUGGAGCUAAUAAGACUGAAGAAAGAGGUUAUCCCUAAACUGUGUGCACUGUAAAAUAGAAAUGUAAACUAGAAAAUAUAAAAUAGAAAACAAGGUGGAGGUGCCUGAAAAGAUUGAACCCGGCAAUCUCUCUUCUGGGCAGUUAAAAGCAGCGCCUCGAAGAGAUAUUUGCACGCUGUCGUUGGCCGUAGCACUGUUUACAAGAGCCAAGAGGUGCAGAGAAUGCGCGUGUCCAUCAUCACGUGAGUGGAUGCAGAAAUCGUGACUGUGAAGUGGGGAAAAGCUUGGGAAAGGAGAGAGUGGAGGAAAAAACAAAAAACAAAAACAAACAAACAAAAAAAAACAGGAGCUUUGUACAACCCUGGCUGGGAAAUAACUCCGAGAAAAAAAAAUUUUUUUUAAUGUAAGAAAUGGGAUGAUUUCAUGAAACGCCAGAGGUAAAGAUGGAGGACCGGAGGAGUCGCACGGCGCUGGGUGGCCGUGAUGGGACUUGUUUUUCCGAGUUGGAAAACAGUAUGGGUGCGGCAGGACACAUGAGUUCCUGCGUAGACACGCUGAGCAUGAGGUACUAUGGGACCCAACAUGGCGAAGUUCAGGGGAGGGAAGUGGGCAUAGCCUCACGCCUCACAGGUUGUGCUGGAAGGCGUAAGAGUGACUGAUGGCGCUUUGCCUCCGCGUGGGCCCGGCCUGCAGGUGCAGCAUCUGGGCAUUCUCUCACCAUCAGGGCUGGGAGCCCAGAGGAAUAGCCAUCUGGCAAAGGGCCAAGAGGCAGACCCAGCAAGGCUGAGGCCAACUCCACCUCCUAUGAGGAACUGAGGUUUGUUGAGACUUCCCUCGGUUCAGGAUGUUACCCCAGGUCAAAGAGAGAGCCUAGAAGAAGUUGAAGAAACCUCUGGGUGAAAAUCGCAGUGGGCGCAGGUGAGUCAGCUCUCCUUGCACCUGUCACUAGGAGCCCCACCUUUCCAUCCAGGAGCUCAGCAAGACAGUCAGUGACCUUCCAUGUCUGCUGCCUGACACACAAACAGGUUGUGAAACAGCCUGGCAGUGACUCAGCCUGAGGACGGCUCCACUGGCUAGCUCUGCGGGCGGGGCUGUGUGACACCUGAAAGGACAUCGUGUCUAACAAACAUGUUGCUUGUCCCAGCACUGAUGGAGGGUGCCAAGCUCAGUCGGUGAACUCUGGUCCUUGAGGCAUCACAGAUGACGGAACUGGGGUGCCUAAGUUGCAUGGAUCUCGGGUUGUAAUUCUGGUCUAACAACCACCCAGGGCCAAUGUCAAGAAGAGAGGAAUGUGUUAGAGGCUGGGGAGCUCCUUUUUAUCAAGAGGUGGCCUGGGCUGUGGCUCUUGGUGUCCAGAUUGUGUGAUCUGAGUUCAAAGCCCUGAGCUCUACUGCUUACUGCCUAUGUAACUUUAGGCAAGUGGCUUAUGCCUCUAAGUUAAAACUGCCUUACUCUGUAAAAACCUCAGCCUGGAAAAAUGAUGUUUUAGAGAUAAAAGAUGUAAAUUUCCUGAACCAGGGCCAGGUAUUUGUUCAAGUGUUUGGGAUACUGCUUGGGAGGCUCUUGCUUUAUAUCAGUGCUUGUUUUUGUUUUUGUUUUUUAAGAUUUAUUUUACUUAUAUGAAAAGCAGAGUUACAGGCAGAGGCAGAGAGAGAGAGAGAGAGAGAAAGUCUUUCAUCUGCUGGUUCACUCCCCAAAUGGCCACACUGGCUGGAGCUGAUCUGAUCUGAAGGCACAUGGGUGCAGGGGCCCAAGGACUUGGGCCAUCUUUCGCUGCUUUCCCAGGCACAUAAGCAAGGAGCUGGAUCUGAGGUGGAGCAGCCAGGACACGGGAUGCCAGCACUGGGGGCAGUGGCUUUACCUGCUACACCUCAGCAGCGGCCCCAGUGCUUGGGUUUUAUAUAGGCUCCACACCUGACUCCAGCUUCCUGUUAGUGCAAACCCUGGGAGGCAGUGAUGAUGACACAGGUGUCUGAGUUCCUACUGCUCACGUGGAAAAUAUGGAGGGAGUUCCUGGCUCCUGGCUUUGACCUGGCUUAGUCUUGGCUGUUGUAGGCAUUUGAGGAAAGGACUAGAGAUAAGAGAGUUUUCUCUCUCUCUCUCUCUGCCUCCCAAAUUUUAAAAAAAUUUUUUUAAACUGAACUAAUUAUUCCUAAAAACAAACCAAAGAAUUUCCUAAUAGAAAGCUUUCCAGAAAUUACUAUUGGAAACUUGUGCUGGGGCUGGUACUGCAGCAUAGUGGGUAAAGAACCGGCAUCCUAUAUGGCUACUGGUUUGAGUCCCGGCUGCUCUACUUCUGAUCCAGGUCCCUGCUAAUGCAUGGGAAAGCAGUGGAAAAUGGCCUAAGUGCUUGGGCCCCUGCAUCCACUUGGGAGAUCCAGAAGGAGCUCCUGGUUCCAGGAUUUGGAUCGAUCAGCCCAGCUCCAGCCGUUGCAGCCAUUUGGGGAGUGAACCAGUGGAUGGAAGUUCUCUCUGUGUCUCUGUCUCUGUAACUCUACCUUUCAAAUAAAUAAAAAAAAAAGUUAAAAAAAAUAAGAAAGAAACCUGUGCCACUGUUUGCCCUCCCCCACUCCUGAUGGAACUUGCCCCUCCUGCUAGCAAAGGGUGAUGGAACUUUCCCACUCGUCAGGAAGUGAAAAAGCAGUCAGCCCAGCUGUCACAGACACAAGCCCCAGGCCAGUCGUGUCCUUGUUUUUCAACUGAUCACUGGAUGCAUUUCCUAAUAGGAAAAAAGAAAGGGACAUUUUGAUCAAGCGGUGUGGGAGGCUGAAUGACAGCCCCCCAGCCACACCCACGUCCUAAUGUCUGGAGUCUGUCAGUUUGCCUUCUGUGUAACUUACCCGCUUUGAAGCUGUGAUUAAUGUGAAGAUAUUGAGAGGGAGAAUUAUCCUGGAUUAUCUGGUGGGUCCCUGACGUAAUCACAGGUCUCACUGGAAGAGGGAGGUGAAGGAUUUGAUGACAGACAAGAGAAGGACGUGUGCUACAGUUAAAUGUGUCCCCUGACGUGUGUGUGUCAGAGACUUGAUCUCCAAUGAUACAGCCUUGAGAGGCGGGACCUUCAGUUAUGGGGGCUGUGGCCUCCUGCGUGGACGUGUGAGCUCCUUAGCGUGCCAGCGUGUGCUUACAGAGGACGAGUGCCUGACGGGAGCCCUGGAAGAUGCAUCUCUGAUCUGUGGCUUCAAUCAGAGAAUGCCUUCUGCUGGUAAGCAACUAAAUUUGUGGUAAUUUGUUUUUGUUAUUUUUUAAAGAUUUUUAUUUAUUUAUUUGAAAAAGUAGAGUUAUAGACUGUGAGAGGGAGAGACACAGAGGUCCGUCUCUGAUUCCAUCCACUGAUUCACUCCCCAAAUGGCUGCAACAGCAGGAGCUGAGCCAAUCUGGAGCCAGGAGCUUCUUCCGGGUCUCCCACGUGGGUGCAGGGGCCCAAGUGCUUGGGCCAUUCUCUUUUGCUUUCCCAGGCACGUUAGCAAGGACCUGGAUCAGAAGUGAAGCAGCCGGGACUCCAACCAGCGCCUAUAUGGGAUGCUGAUGCUGCAGGCUGGGGCUUUUAACCCACAAGCCAGAGCGCUGGCCCUGCUAACACCAAAUCUUGAAAUGUGAUGGUAAGUGUAACAAGCCAGUCAUAAAAGAUCACAUUUUGUGUGAUUCUUUUUAUUUGACAUGUCCAGAAGAGGCAAAUCCACUGACAGAAAUCCUAUCAGUGGUUGCCCAGGGCUGAAGGCAUGGAAGGUUUGGGAUGAUGACUGAGAGGGAUGGGGUUUCCUUUUGGGGUAAUGACGAGGUUUUAAGGUUCUGUGUGGUGAUGGUUGUUCUAAUGAGAUGUGCACUUAUAGGGUGAGUGAAUUAUAUAUCAAUAAAUCUGUUUAAAAUAUAAUGCUGAGGGGUGGGCAUGUGGGGUCAUGAGUAGUGGAGUUGCCACUUGGGUGCCAGCGUCCCAUGUCAGAGUGCCUGGUUUGAGUCCUGGCUACUCUGUUGCUGAUUCAGCUUCCUGCUAAUACACACCCUGGAAGGCAGCAGAUGACAGCUCCAGCACAUAGGUCCCUGUCACUUACAUGGGUAGGAGUUCUAGGCUUCUGAUUUUAGCCUGGCCCAGUCCUGCCUAUUUUGAGCAUUUGGGAGUGAACCAGCAGACAGAAGAUCUCUCUCUAUGUCUCUCUCUCUCUGCCUUUCAAAUAAAAAACAAAAAUUAACAAGAGCAAACAAAUGGGCAAUUGUGCUGAGAGCUGACACCUAGCAGAAGUAUACUGAAUAUUUGCCACUACUGUGCUACAAUUUUCUCACCUCCUCAUCUAAUUCUGAAAUAAUGGUGUAACUAACAUCAGCACUCACUACCUGCCAGACACUGUGGUAAAGCAUUUUACAUAUAUUAUCUCUCUUAAUCACCAAAUGCACCUAAUACUGUGGUUAUGGUUAUUAUCCCAUUUUAAGAUAAGGAAGCUGGAAUACUGAUAGGUUAAGUAACUUGCCCAGGGUCACACAGCUUACAAGUAGUAGAACCAGGAUUUCAACUCGAGUCACUGGACUUCUGAGCCCAAGAACUCAACUUGUUUCUCUGCACUGUGUCAUUAGCCCCCUGGACCGGCUGGUAGGAUCUGCAGAAUUUUCAAUUUCAUAUCUUCAGUCCUAUGCGAGGCUCAGCUACACUUCCUGAAUAUUUGUAAAGUGAGUCGCUUCUUUUGCUUAAAGCCGAAUGGCUUUCUGUUCCAUCCAACAGGUCCCUGGUUCAGAAGUGGGGAAAUUCCAACUCUCCUAGGGCAGAGCAGGGGCUUCCUGAGGGCUCAGCAACCACAGAGGGCAUCCACACUGACCCCUGCCCUGGGGAGCCGUAGAGAGCACACGUCAGAGCGAAGACUAAGGUGUUGCAGCGGAGCUUGGCAGCUCUUUGCUCUACGUCUUCCAACUUCUGAUAUGGAUUUUCUUUAAAUGCAGCAUUGCUAAAUUUUAUGUAAAGACAAUAGAAUAUUGUAAUGAAAAUCCUGGGCCCUGUACUCUGGAAGAUAGUUAUUCAGUUCCUUAAGAAGCUAAAACUACCAUAAAACGCAGCUAUUGUAAUCCUGAGCAUCUGUCCCAGAGAAAUGAAGAUUUAUCUUGUUAAAAAAUCCUUGAGGGACCAGCGCUGUGCCGUACUGGAUAAGGCCACUGCCUACAGUACCAGCACCCCAUAUGGGUGCUGAUUUGAGUCUCAGCAGAUGGAAGACCUCUCUCUCUCUCUCUGCCUCUGCCUCUCUGUAACUCUGCCUUUCAAAUAAAUAAAUAAAUCUCUCUAAAAAAAAAAAAAAGCCUUGAAUGGGGCCAGCAUUGUGGCGUAGUGGGUAAAGCCACCACCCAAAACGCUGGCGUCCCAUACAGACGCCAGUUCAAGUCCUGGCUACUCCUCUUCCAAUCCAGCUCCCUACUAAUGUGCCUUGGAAAGCAAUGGAAGAUGGCUCAAAUCCUUGCAGCCCUGCACCAUGUGGGAGACCCAAAUGAAGCUCCUGGCUUGUAGCUUCCGGCUUUAGCCUGGCCCAGCCCCAGCCAUUGUGGCCAUUUGGGGAAUGAACCAACAAAUGGAAUCUCUUUCUCUGUGUCUCCCCUCUCUCUUUCUGUAACUUUGUCCUUCAUAUAAAUGAAAUAAAUUAAAAAAAAAAAGACCCCUUGAAUGUUUAGAGUAGCUUUAUUGGGUGUAGUAAAAAACUCAAACAUCCUUCAGUGAGUGAGUGGUUAAGCCAUGGCACAACUGAGGAACCCCACUCAGCGUGGACAAAGACUCAGCAAUGAAAACGGAGGAAAUGUUAAUACUUAGACUUGCAGCAGUCUGGAUGAAUUUCCAGAAAACUAUGCUGAGUGAAAAAAAAAAUCUCAGAAGGUUACAUACUGUAUGACUCACUUAUAUAAAAUUCUUAAAAUGUCCUCGAAAUGGAGGACAUGCUACUGACUGUUAGAGUUCAGGCGGCAAGAAGAGAGUGGGGAUGUCUCUUAAAAGGACAACGUGAGGAAUCCUUGUGGUGAGGACAGCACUCUGUGUCUCGGCUGAAUCCACAUAUUUGGGCUGUGAUCCGGCACCAUCCUUUCCCAUGAUGCCAUGCUGGGAAAAACUCGGUGAGGGUACACAGCACCUCUUUGUCUCAUUGUGUUAUUUCUUACGGCAUGUGAAUGUAAAAUUAUCUCGCCGGUGCCGUGGCUCAAUAGGCUAUUCCUCCACCUAGCGGCGCCGGCACACCGGGUUCUAGUCCCAGUCGGGGCGCCGGAUUCUGUCCCGGUUGCCCCUCUUCCAGGCCAGCUCUCUGCUGUGGCCAGGGAGUGCAGUGGAGGAUGGCCCAAGUGCUUGGGUCCUGCACCCCAUGGGAGACCAGGAUAAGUACCUGGCUCCUGCCUUGGGAUCAGCGCGGUGCGCAGGCCACAGCACGCCAGCCAUGGCGGCCGUUGGAGGGUGAACCAACGGCAAAGGAAGACCUUUCUCUCUGUCUCCCUCCCUCACUAUCCACUCUGCCUGUCAAAAAAAAAAAAAAAAAAAAAGACUUACAACUAUCUCAAAGCCCCAGGUUGUUUUCACCUGUGCUUUAAGACCAAUCAAUUGGGGCCGGCUCUGUGGCAUAGCAGUUAAAGCCGCUGCCUGCAGUGGCGGCAUCCCAUGUGGGCAUCGGUUCGAGUCCCAGCUGCUCUACUUCCAAUCGGGCUCUCUGCUAUGGCCUGGGAAAGCAGUAGAAGAUGGCCCAAGUCCUUGGGCCCCUGCACCCGCGUGGGAGACCUGGAAGAAGCUCCUGACUCCUGGCUUCAGAUCAGUGCAGCUCCAGCCGUUGUGGCCAUUUGGGGAGUAAACCAUCGGAUGGAAGACCUCUCUCUCUCUCUCUCUCUCUCUCUCUCUCUCUCUGCCUCUCCUCUCUCUGUGUAACUCUGACUUUUAAGUAAAUAAAAAUAAUUUUUUUUUAAAUGGUUAAGAGGUCGACAUUUGGGAGUGAUGGAAAUGUUUUGCCCUGGAUGGAGGAGGUGCUUGCACAAGCCUGGCAGCAUACUAAAGGCCGGGGAAUUGUUCACUUCAAACUGGUCAAUUUAUGUUCAAUUUAUCUCAAUAAACUGAUAAA